UGAGAACUUUGGUGAUGUGUCUUCUUCAU
rnacentral:piRNA from 1 species